rnacentral:lncRNA from 1 species
ACACUUUAUAGUGACUGAACAGGUUGAUUUAACUUCCUCAAGAAACAGAAAAAGAAGACGAAUUCAAUGGAACAGCUCUAGACUAUUUAACAUGCAAGCUGAUUAUAGAUAGAUUUAUAAGGAUAGUAACGUAAGUUAUCAAUAGAUUGAAUAAUAAUGGGGAUAACCAACAUUUUUAUGCCGCAGCCUUAGCUAUGGAUGUUAUAGUUUGACUCGACCAAAUGUUUGAAACUUAUACACAAUGCUUA